GUGAUUUUCCUGCCUCAGCCUCCCGAGUAGCUGGGAUUACAGCAAUCCUGAGAUGAGGAGGCUGAGGCCAAAGGAAAGACUAAGACCUGCCCAUGGACACAUGUUGGCAAAGACCAAGCAGGAACUCGAGCCAGUUUACCUGAAACCAAGGUCCAGGCAUUUGUGAAGAGUUGAUGGUCUUGCCUGGAAUGCCCAACCCCAUGUCCUGGACGUCUUUCGACUGGACUGCCCAGACCUCAGAGCAGGGUCUGUGUUGACUCACCUCAUGUCUCCAGCUCUCCCAGCUCUCAGGGCCUUGCACAGAGAAAAUGCUAACUUAACCUUGGUUUGCUGAAGGAACAAACCAGUUCUCCAGCACCUUGGCUUCAGACAGUUGCAGAUGUUUGCAGAAGACUCCUUGGACAUGGAAAGGUGAGUGCUGAGAGGACAUGGGCAGGACAAUGACCAGGUGGGGUGACACAAUGCAGUAUGUGAGGACUAGCA
rnacentral:lncRNA from 1 species